AGGACGAACGCUGGCGGCAGGCCUAACACAUGCAAGUCGAACGCUCGUAGCAAUACGGGAGUGGCAGACGGGUGAGUAACGCGUGGGAACGUACCUUUCGGUUCGGAAUAACCCGGGGAAACUCGGGCUAAUACCGGAUACGUCCGCAAGGAGAAAGAUUUAUCGCCGAAAGAUCGGCCCGCGUCGGAUUAGCUAGUUGGUGAGGUAACGGCCCACCAAGGCGACGAUCCGUAGCUGGUCUGAGAGGAUGAUCAGCCACACUGGGACUGAGACACGGCCCAGACUCCUACGGGAGGCAGCAGUGGGGAAUAUUGGACAAUGGGCGAAAGCCUGAUCCAGCCAUGCCGCGUGAGUGAAGAAGGCCUUAGGGUUGUAAAGCUCUUUCAGCGGGGAAGAUAAUGACGGUACCCGCAGAAGAAGUCCCGGCUAACUUCGUGCCAGCAGCCGC
rnacentral:rRNA from 1 species